rnacentral:lncRNA from 1 species
GUUGCCUACUCCCUAGGCUUUUCAAAGAGAAAACGUUUUCCUACUUCAAAUACCUAAUGUCUAGGGGCUGGGUUUGUGGCUCAGUGGUAGAGCGGUUACCUAGCCCAUGUGAGGCACUGGGUUCGAUUCUCAGCACCACAUAAAAUAAAUAAAUAAAUAAAAUAAAGAUAUUUUAAAAAUAAAUACCCAGUGUCUAGAACAGGUUUGGAACCUAAUGUGGCAAGUGGGUUACUUAAAGUUAAGUGAGGAAAAACCCCUAGCUAUUUCAAGUGCAGAGUGAUUUAAUACAAGGAAAUAAGUGUAAAGAGGAGAAAAAGAUUUUCCUCACCCCUCUUAGAGAAUCUUGCUGAGUUUGAAAGGAAAGGACAAAGACAGAUGAACGUGAAAAAAGCAUACUAAUUUAACUUAAGUUCUAUGUGAUAUAAGGAAUUUCAUAAAGAAAUGAAAAACCUAAAGAAAAUAAUAAAGCUAUAAUAAUUCCUAUACAAGGUUUGAGGAAGUAUAUAAUUGUGGAGAAGUAUCACUGUGUUAAAAAGUAUGAGGGGAAAAAAGGAAAGAGUAAAACUGCGGGGGACUUAUCAAGGUGUGUUUGUUCAGAUUCAUCUCUGCGACCCUGUGUUUUCAGAAAUAAUGAUACUCCUUUCCUGGGGGGGGGGGGUACUUCUCGAAUGAGUAUCUGAUGACCUGCUUUAGGGAAAAGUCAGAAAAUAUUUCCUAGGUGUUAUGGUCAGCUUCAUGGGAAAAAAUGUGAGAGGAAAGUGAGAGUGUCCUUACUGCUUCUGCUGUUUCCUGAAAUGCCAAGGUGCUGCAUUUUGGGACAGGAUGGCCUAACUCCAUCAGAUACUAAAAAAGGACUGGAAAAGAUGAGGGGAAAGUCAAGAUUUCAAAUUUUCAUGUUUUCAUUUACAUUGCUAUAAUGCAGAGUUCUGGAAAGUACUACUGACCCUACAGAGAUCAGGAAGCUUCAUGAAACACUGCUACUCAGUAGAAUGGUCCAGCAGACCCAAAGCUGGUGGCUGGCAGUGAGGUGCAUCAGUGGAGGCCACAUAGUGAAAGUUCACAUUUCUGAAGCCUAUUUUCACUGCCAGAGGCCGAAUGGCCUUUACCAGUUUUCUACCUUCCAAAUUUCUUGCCAGUUCAGCUCAUUGGCAGAAAUAAAUUCCAUACAGAAUCUCGCUGCUAUGAUAAUAGUUUAACAACAAUGAUCUGUGUUCACAAAUCAAUAAAGUAUUUUC